rnacentral:rRNA from 1 species
GACGAACGCUGGCGGCGUGCUUAACACAUGCAAGUCGAACGGAAAGGCCUGUCCUUCCUUGUGUUGGACGGGUACUCGAGUGGCGAACGGGUGAGUAACACGUGAGUGAUCUGCCCCCAACUUGGGUAUAAGCCUGGGAAACUGGGUCUAAUUCCCGAUAGGACUGCAGGGUGGUGCCUGUGGUGGAAAACGAUUUUCUAGUGGUUGGGGAUGAGCUCGCGGCCUAUCAGCUUGUUGGUGGGGUAAUGGCCUACCAAGGCGGCGACGGGUAGCCGGCCUGAGAGGGUGGACGGCCACAUUGGGACUGAGAUACGGCCCAGACUCCUACGGGAGGCAGCAGUGGGGAAUAUUGCACAAUGGGCGGAAGCCUGAUGCAGCGACGCAGCGUGGGGGAUGACGGCCUUCGGGUUGUAAACUCCUUUCGACCGCGAGGAAGCCGCCUGGUUGGAAGGGUGGUGACGGUAGUGGUAGAAGAAGCACCGGCUAACUACGUG